UACAGAGGUCUCAAGCGUUGUUCGGAUUCAUUGGGCGUAAAGGGUGCGUAGGUGGCGCGGUAAGUCGGGUGUGAAAUCCCCAAGCUUAACUUGGGAACUGCAUUCGAGACUGCAUAGCUAGAGUAUGGGAGAGGGAAGUGGAAUUUCAGGUGUAGCGGUGAAAUGCGUAGAUAUCUGAAGGAACAUCAGUGGCGAAAGCGACUUCCUGGACCAAUACUGACGCUCAUGUGCGAAAGCGUGGGGAGCAAACAGG
rnacentral:rRNA from 1 species